rnacentral:rRNA from 1 species
UCGGGAAUUUUGGGCAAUGGGCGAAAGCCUGACCCAGCAACGCCGCGUGAAGGAUGAAGUAUUUCGGUAUGUAAACUUCGAAAGAAUAGGAAGAAUAAAUGACGGUACUAUUUAUAAGGUCCGGCUAACUACGUGCCAGCAGCCGCGGUAAUACGUAGGGACCAAGCGUUGUUCGGAUUUACUGGGCGUAAAGGGCGCGUAGGCGGCAAUUCAAGUCAUCUGUGAAAUCUCCGGGCUUAACUCGGAACGGUCAGAUGAUACUGCUUUGCUAGAGUGCAGAAGGGGCAAUCGGAAUUCUUGGUGUAGCGGUGAAAUGCGUAGAUAUCAAGAGGAACACCUGAGGUGAAGACGGGUUGCUGGGCUGACACUGACGCUGAGGCACGAA